rnacentral:tRNA from 1 species
GAGGCCUUAGCUUAAUUAAAGCGAUUGAGUUGCAAUCAGUUGAUGCAGGAUAAAGUUCUGUAGGUCUUA